rnacentral:lncRNA from 1 species
CCUCUGUCCCCCGAAUCUUGACACGUUUCUAUUUUGGGUAAUAAUUAUUACAUUCUCUCUUCUACUUUAUCGCUUUUAUUACUCUCUCUCUCCUACUUUAUCACUCUUAUUACCUUCUAUCUCCUACUUUAUCACUUUUAUAUUUUAUUAACUACUCACUAAUCUACAACUCCUUAAUUCUCAUGCCAAAUCCAAACGUGUCAAGAUUCGUGGGACGGAGGAAGUACUAUUUUUAGAAAUCCCCCCCCCAAUACAGCAAGUUGCAACCCAGCCACCCCAAAUACCUCCAAGUCUGCAACCCUGCCGGACUUCCUCCCCUGCCGCCCCAAAUCCCCAACAACCCCGCCGGACUUCUUCUCCCCACCGCCCUAAA